rnacentral:rRNA from 1 species
UACGUAGGGUCCGAGCGUUAAUCGGAAUUACUGGGCGUAAAGCGUGCGCAGGCGGUUUUGUAAGCCAGAUGUGAAAUCCCCGGGCUCAACCUGGGAACUGCAUUUGGGACUGCAAGGCUGGAGUACGGCAGAGGGAGGUGGAAUUCCACGUGUAGCGGUGAAAUGCGUAGAGAUGUGGAGGAACACCAAUGGCGAAGGCAGCCUUCUGGGCCAACACUGACGCUCAUGCACGAAAGCGUGGGGAGCAAACAGG